GUGCCUCAAAAAACUAC
rnacentral:rRNA from 2 species